rnacentral:rRNA from 1 species
GAUGAACGCUGGCGGCGUGCCUAAUACAUGCAAGUCGAGCGAACGGACGAUACGCUUGCUUCUCUGAUGUUAGCGGCGGACGUGUGAGUAACACGUGUAUAACCUACCUAUAAUACUGGUAUAACUUCGGGAAACCGGAUCUAAUACCGUAUAAUCUUUUGCACCGCAUUGUUCAAAAGUGAAAGACGGUCUUUCUGUCACUUAUCGAUGGAUCCGCGCUGGAUUAGAUAGUUGUUAAGGUAACGGCCUACCAAGGCAACGAUGCCUAGACGACCUGAGAGAGGGGUAGGCCACACUGGAACUGAGACACGGUCAAGAGGACUAAGGGACGCAGCAGUAGGGAAUGGUACGCAGUGGGCGAAAGCAUGACGGAGUAAGGGCGAGUCAGAGAUGAAGAUCUUCGGAGCGUAAAAAUCGGUUAUGAGGGAAGAACAGAUGUGUAAGGAAAUGAGCACAUAGUGACGGUAACGAAUAAGAAAGCAACGGCUAACUACGUG